rnacentral:misc_RNA from 1 species
GAUGAAGAACGUAGCGAACUGCGAUAAGUAAUGUGAAUUGCAGAAUUCAGUGAAUCAUCGAGUCUUUGAACGCACAUUGCGCCCAUUAGUAUUCUAGUGGGCAUGCCUGUUCGAGCGUCAUUUCAACCCUUAAGCCUAGCUUAGUGUUGGGAAUCUGCUGUAUUGCAGUUCCUCAAAUACAACGGCGGAUCUGUAACAUCCUCUGAGCGUAGUAAAUUUUUAUCUCGCUUUUGUUAGGUGUUGCAGCUCUCAGCCGCUAAACCCCCCAAUUUUUGUGGUUGACCUCGGAUCAGGUAGGAAUACCCGCUGAACUUAAGCAUAUCAAUAAGCGGAGGA